rnacentral:lncRNA from 1 species
AAAAAAAAAAAACAACACAGCAAGACAAAACUAAUGAACAAAGAAGAAAGUAGAUAUAAGGUUGGGAUAAUGCCAGACCUUGGGCAUAAAUUCCUAUUGUAAUUACCAUAUAGAAAAGUAACACGGGUAAAAUCAGGUAUUCCCUUGUGAUGUGCAUAAACAACUCUUACUAAUAAAGAUAAAUUUACAGGCAAGACCAAUUUCUUUUGCUCUGCUCUGUUAGUAACAACUAUCAAUAUGUCGUUUACAUGCUUGAAGAAAUUAGACCAGAAAGUUUACCUAAUAAAAGCUACUAUAUUUUGACUAAAAACAACAGACUGAAAUAGAACAAACUUAGAACCAAAAUUUAGAGUAACACAAGAUGCCAAAUAGGAUAAAACACCAUAUAUGAAGAAACAAAACUUAGAAUCUAUCUCAAACAAAGAAUAAAGUCCAACAAACUUUUCAGAACAUUUAGCCGCACUAUAACUGCAUAAUUGAAACAAAUGCCCAGUCAGACUACAUCAUAACAACUCAUAACUUGCAGCCCUUCAGUUUAAUUCCAGGGAUUUAUUAGAGAUAUGGUAAUUCAGAAACACACAUAAGUUUGUUAGCAUAAAGAAUAGAGUGGGAAAACAGGAAACUCAGGGGAUUUAGAAAAGAGAAAUGCUAAUAAAGCACCAACAAAAGAAAAACAAAAACUAUCAAAUCUCUCACAAACCAAGUCAUGGACAAGUGGCCUCUACCUAUUUCUCCCAAGGGAGUGAUCAAAGGAUACUAGAAAGGAAGAGUGGGUUGAGAGAGAGAGAGAAUACUCCGUUCUAAAAUAAAAGAGUUGCAGACAGAAGUGUGAACAUAGUAUUAAAAUGCCAAUUAUAAAAUUGGAAGUUUAUCUCCCCACUCUUUACUUAAUAGCCAAAGUGAACAAUAUGAUAUUGCAUGCACAAUUGUGCAUUAGAAUGUGGAUUGGAAUUGCCAGAUAUGGAUUUACCAUUUAUUUUAGUAUUUCAUUUCAAUUGAAGUAGAUAAUAUAACUGCAGUUUAUUAUUGAACUAACAAAGCAUUUGGAAUCUUACAAACUAACAUGCCUAAUUAAGGUAAUGUUUUCUGCAAAUUAUCCCUUUACUGAUCUUGGCAUGGGGAUUCCUUUGCUUGCAGCUAGUUGUAGAUAACUAAAAGCACUCUUCUGGAUCUUUAAGUUCCACAAAGUAUCAAAACAUAACAUCUAAAAGUAUACAACCAUGAGAGCCUACAUCUCCUGUAACUAAUACUUGCACAUUCCAAAAGGAAAAUAUAAUAUCUCAUACAUAUGAAAACCUUUUAAAUGCACUCCGACAAAAUUGUUCUCCUCUCCUGGUUGGAAAAGAUGAAGGUUACUCUAGGAAAUAAAUGUAGAGCUUGAUAGUAAUGGAGUCAAAUCUCAACAAUCAAACUUUUGAAAGUGUAGCAGACAAAACUAAUUUCAUGGAAAGCAUAUUGGAUGUCAUCAUAUUCCAAGUGGCAAGUAUUAAUCAAGUUGCUUAGACAGCAUUUAUAUUAGAACAAAAACUAAAAAAUGGCUUAAUCUCCAUAAAGGAAGAAGUUAUUGUGUUUGAUAAAGCAUUCCAAAUAUGUAUAAAGCAGUAUAUUCUUCUAUCCAACAAAUAAAAUUUGUGCAAAUACCAAUACAAGCUCAUAAAUCUGUGGUUGAUGAUUAGGUUGGAUCAAAACAAAUAAUAAUUAGGCUGGGUCCCAGAAAAUAAAAGCAGAUCAUUCCUAAUUAAAGAGAAAAUUGUGAAGAAAGAACUUGCAGGUUUCUUUUCAGGCAAAAAUGGCCUGGACACAAAAUCUUAGCCAGGUCAUGCCACUAGGGUUUAGUGAUAUAAAAGAACUAAAGCAGUCAAUGAUUUCAAAGAUCACAAACUCAAGUAAGCAAUGUAUGGGUUCCAUUGUGCAUUUCAUCCAUAAUCUGCAUAACAGAACUUCUAAAUUACCGCCAGUGUGAUGCUAAAAUAUUGAUCUGGAUCAUAUUCUGUCACUUGUAUCAUAUAUACGUCGAACUCUCUUGUCCAUUCUGAAAUCCUAAACAAAACCUGGAUGUUAUCCUACUCACACCAAAGAGAUUCCAGGCACAAUUCUUCGUCUAGGACAUAAAUCAUAUUAGAAUUUCAUUCUCAACAAUUCAUCAGUAACCAGAGAUCAAACCACUAAUUGUUGGAAACUACAGGCCCUUGAGUACAAUGAGUUUCAAUAUUGAUGGUAAAUAGUUUUAACAGAGGGGGAAAUUUUCUGGAUAGAAAUUCUAUUUGCAGAAAAGACAUAACCACAGACGACUAUACCUCUGCGUUCUCAAGCUUUUGCACAAGCCUUGGCUUUCUAUUUUAGAUUCUUUCCUUGCCAGUCUCCAUCAAAAGAGACGAAAGAUGAGGUAAAGGAGAGGAAAUUUGUAAAAGACAGAGGCAGUAUUUUCGUUGCAACUACUUUCACCUAAUGCCUCUUUCCAUUUCAAAUCAAAAGAUCUCCAACAAUAAAAGUUUGAAGCGUCAAAUGAUACCCAAUUAUUGGAUCCUGCUUGCACAAAGAUGAAGUGCUGUAUUUGCAGAACUACGAGCAUGAAAAGAAAGAAGUCUUGCUCUUUUGGAGAUCAGAAAUCCAGUUAAGAAAAAAACUUAAUACAUUUAUGGCCUAUUUUUGCAUUACUAAAAUAGUUAACACCACAUCAAUAAGGAUGGUUAGCAUCUAGCAAUAAGAUUAUUGCAUCAUAGCAACAGAAUUUGUCUACUCUAGAUUCCACUCAAACAGGCAAUGUGACAACCCAAUUUGGAAUCCAUCAAGUGGCAACCUCUUCAAUUAUUUUAGUAUAACGUGAAAUAUUCCAAAUAUUUAAGCUUUAACCCAUUGCACUGUUUUGCUAGCAGCAGGUUGAAGAUUCAAUUAGAAAAGAUAAUGACAUAGUGUACAGUAUUUCUAUUAUUAAUCACAUAGUUUUCUAAACAUCCAAAAUGGUGAAAAAUUAUCAAGGCACCCUUUAGAGCAAUCUGGUCUGCCUCCACAUAAAGUUGACAGAAAUGCAAGUAGAAACUAUUCAGAACUUGCUAGUGCUAGUCUAUGUCAUCUGCAACCCCCAAUCAUUGUUUUGCGGAAACCAAGAUUCCUUUAAGCAUGAUCAAAUUUUUUACAUGCAAAGGAGUGAAUAGUGUUAAAAUGAAGAGUCUCUUUACAGAGUCUUUUCUACGUAAAUAUGAAUACCUAAGCCAAAUGAAUUGGAAGAGUUCUUAACCACUUGAAAGACCAAAAAUUAGAAACAUAUGCAGUGAAACAGCUGAAUUGCGGAACCAAGCAAUUGCAACUUUGGUCUGAAUUUGAGAAUCAAGGUCUACUAACCACCAAUUUUUGAGCUUUCCAUGAAGUAAUUCUACUCAACUUUCUAACAGUAUGCGAUUUUUCCCAAGGCUCACUCCUAGUUUUAAAGCAAACCCAGCUAACUUCAAAGAAAAUGCAAUCGGAAAACAAAUAUGGUAAUAAAAAUUUUUCAGACAAUCACUGUGGUAGGA